UGGGGAAUUUUGGACAAUGGGCGAAAGCCUGAUCCAGCAAUGCCGCGUGUGUGAAGAAGGCCUUCGGGUUGUAAAGCACUUUUGUCCGGAAAGAAAUCCUUGGCUCUAAUACAGUCGGGGGGAUGACGGUACCGGAAGAAUAAGCACCGGCUAACUACGUGCCAGCAGCCGCGGUAAUACGUAGGGUGCAAGCGUUAAUCGGAAUUACUGGGCGUAAAGCGUGCGCAGGCGGUUUGCUAAGACCGAUGUGAAAUCCCCGGGCUCAACCUGGGAACUGCAUUGGUGACUGGCAGGCUAGAGUAUGGCAGAGGGGGGUAGAAUUCCACGUGUAGCAGUGAAAUGCGUAGAGAUGUGGAGGAAUACCGAUGGCGAAGGCAGCCCCCUGGGCCAAUACUGACGCUCAUGCACGAAAGCGUGGGGAGCAAACAGGAUUAGAUACCCUGGUAGUCCACGCCCUAAACGAUGUCAACUAGUUGUUGGGGAUUCAUUUCCUUAGUAACGUAGCUAACGCGUGAAGUUGACCGCCUGGGGAGUACGGUCGCAAGAUUAAAACUCAAAUGAAUUGACGGGGUCAUAGCUGUUUCCU
rnacentral:rRNA from 1 species